GAGGAAAAUACACCACGUGGUAACCGGCCGGCGGUAGGUUCACCAGUGGACCGGCGCACGCUUGCCAUAACUCCGGAUUUAUGAUCUUCUUCUCCAAUCCACCUGCAAUUCACCAUCUGUCAGUCGCUCAUUUACGAGAAAGAGAGAGAUAAAGAAAAAAGGGGAGAAACGUACCUUCGUUGGAAUUAGGAGCGGCGGCGGCACCGGCGGCACCAUUCGCCGGCGUCUUCAUUACUUGAACUUCCACAGGUGAUUGAAAUAGAUAUACAACCAAACCAAAACUAGAAACACUAACUGUAAUCUCACUGGCUCAUCUUCUCCGGCGAAAAGGAAAUUUCCCAGUAACUAAAACAGAUCGUAUAGCCAAAAGUACUGGAAAAAGUCAGCUUUAACAAUCACUCUGCCACUUCCUAGAUCACCUCCAAAAAGAAGGAAAGUCCUUCAAAUUUUCCCGGAAAAGUAAAAGGAGAAAAACAAUCAAAGAAAUGAACAAGGUCAACAACAACAACAACUAUGGAACUCCGGCGAAGGAUUCCGGCAAAGUCACCGGAAAAGAAAAUCGGAAAACUAAAAAGAAUCCCCCCCAAAAAAGAAAAACAAAACAAAAAAACAAAACAAAAAUGGAAAGAGGAGACAAAGAAGAAAAGAAAGGGUUUGGUUUUGCUUAGUUACAGAGAGACCAAAUGCUGAAGCUUUGUUCCCUAUCUUCCCCUACAAUCUCCAGACAACUUCUUCUCUCAAACACAUCAAAACUUUCCAUUUUUUUUUCUUCCCAAUGUUCUUCUUCUCCUUCUUCUUCUUCUUUGUUCUCUCAAAAACCCCCAAAAAAGAAAGGAAAACAAAAACAAAAAACAACCCUUUUUUUUCUCUUUCCUUGAAAUUAAACUAAGAACUUUCUCUUUCUUCUGCUUUAGCUUUGUUUGUCUUCUGUUUGAGUUUGCUUUCUCUUCUGGGUCCUUGAAAAUGGCAAUCUCUUUGUACUAUCUUUCUCUUUUCUCUUUGAAGGGGUUUGGUUUGGUUUUUUUUUCUUUUUUUUUUUUUUAAUUCACACCUUAAUCAUGGUUAAUCUUUGUAUAAAACUGUUUACUUAAUUCCCAAAAUGCCCUUCCAUCAUAAUCAACCAACCCACUAUCUAAAGAGAGAAAAAAUAAAUAAAUAAAGAGGACAAAAAUAAAAAAACAUUUAACUAGACAGCAUCAUGUGCUAAUUUUGACCAUUUUCUUGACCAUCACUAUCUCCAUGUUAUUAAUUGCUAUCCCCUUUCUCGCUAAAUUUUAUUAUCCCUUCCCCUUCCCCUCCCUUCCUCUCCCCCUUUUCUUUUUAUUUCUUUUUUCAUUUUAAUUGUCUUUUCAAGUAAAAAAGGGAAAACAAAUUAUGGCUUCACUAAACUCUCUUUAGUAACCUUAUGCGGUGUUUGGCUCCAACUUCAACUGAGCUGUGUAAACUAAGGUAGUUUACUCCAUCUUUGGAGUUUUAAUUAUAAUAAUCUACGAUUAUUUGCACUUUUACUA